rnacentral:lncRNA from 1 species
GGCGCGAGAGGCGGCACGAGAAGCGGGCACGGGAGGGAGGGAUGUCCUUCCAGCACGAGCUCCCGUGAUCGGAGGAUGCGGCGCGAGAGCGGAGAGGGAAAAGAAGCCCGAGACCGCGCACGAGACCUCGGCGCCGCCGCAGCAGCAACAGCAGCAGCAGCAGCGCAGACGACGUCUUCGAACGGAGCUCGAGCCCCGCUGCUGGCGGAACAUCCAGUACAAUGGCAGGAACAGUAGAGGACAAGGUUUUGGCAUUUGAUCAGGAGUAGAAGGAGCCAGACUGGGCCAACCGGGCCCUUCCUGCAUUUGCUCUAUUUAAAUGAAGAGCAGCAGACCGAGAUCAUUGAAGACAUUCAGCGGGAAUUGCUUAAACUAAACAUUCAGCUGGAGGGCAACAACGCCAUCCGGGGGAGCGUGGACUGCGGGAGUGGCAACAGAACAGUCAGUGGGAGCUUCGACAGCAGAGAGGUCAGCAAGACUACAUACCCGAGGAGUACUGUAAACCACAGCAUAGGGAGGUAGCAACCCUCCUUCAGCAGGAGAACCUAGGUCAGCUCUGUGUGUGCCCCUGGUGCAG